CAGCAGCCACGGUAAAACGUAGGGUGCAAGCGUUGUCCGGAAUUAUUGGGCGUAAAGAGCUCGUAGGCGGUUUGUCGCGUCUGCUGUGAAAUCCCGAGGCUCAACCUCGGGCUUGCAGUGGGUACGGGCAGACUAGAGUGCGGUAGGGGAGAUUGGAAUUCCUGGUGUAGCGGUGGAAUGCGCAGAUAUCAGGAGGAACACCGAUGGCGAAGGCAGAUCUCUGGGCCGUAACUGACGCUGAGGAGCGAAAGCGUGGGGAGCGAACAGGAUUAGAGACCCCGGUAGUCCCUGUCUCUUAUAC
rnacentral:rRNA from 1 species